UACGGAGGGAGCUAGCGUUGUUCGGAAUUACUGGGCGUAAAGCGCACGUAGGCGGCUAUUCAAGUCGGGGGUGAAAGCCCGGGGCUCAACCCCGGAACAGCCCUCGAAACUAGAUAGCUAGAAUCUUGGAGAGGCGAGUGGAAUUCAUGGUGUAGCAGUGAAAUGCGUAGAGAUCAUGAGGAAGACCAGUGGCGAAGGCGGGUCUCUGGACAGUUCCUGACACUGAGGCACGAAGGCCAGGGGAGCAAACGGG
rnacentral:rRNA from 1 species